rnacentral:rRNA from 1 species
UACGUAGGGGGCAAGCGUUGUCCGGAUUUAUUGGGCGUAAAGAGCGUGUAGGCGGUUUGGUAGGUCCGCUGUGAAAACUCGAGGCUCAACCUCGAGACGCCGGUGGAAACCAUCAGGCUAGAGUCCGGAAGAGGAGAGUGGAAUUUCUGGUGUAGCGGUGAAAUGCGCAGAUAUCAGGAAGAACACCCGUGGCUAAGGCGGCUCUCUAGUACGGUACUGACGCUGAGACGCGAAAGCGUGGGGAGCGAACAGG